rnacentral:rRNA from 1 species
GAUGAACGCUAGCUACAGGCUUAACACAUGCAAGUCGAGGGGAAACGAUAGAGAAAGCUUGCUUUUUCUAGGCGUCGACCGGCGCACGGGUGAGUAACGCGUAUCCAACCUGCCUAUCACUUGGGGAUAACCUUGCGAAAGUAAGACUAAUACCCAAUGACGACUCUAGAAGACAUCUGAAAGAGAUUAAAGAUUUAUCGGUGAUGGAUGGGGAUGCGUCUGAUUAGCUUGUUGGCGGGGUAACGGCCCACCAAGGCGACGAUCAGUAGGGGUUCUGAGAGGAAGGUCCCCCACAUUGGAACUGAGACACGGUCCAAACUCCUACGGGAGGCAGCAGUGAGGAAUAUUGGUCAAUGGGCGAGAGCCUGAACCAGCCAAGUAGCGUGCAGGAUGACGGCCCUAUGGGUUGUAAACUGCUUUUAUAAGGGAAUAAAGUGAGUCUCGUGAGACUUUUUGCAUGUACCUUAUGAAUAAGGACCGGCUAAUUCCGUGCCAGCAGCCGCAGUAA